rnacentral:rRNA from 1 species
AUUGAACGCUGGCGGCAGGCUUAACACAUGCAAGCCGAGCGGGGGAAGGUAGCUUGCUACCGGACCUAGCGGCGGACGGGUGAGUAAUGCUUAGGAAUCUGCCUAUUAGUGGGGGACAACAUCUCGAAAGGGAUGCUAAUACCGCAUACGUCCUACGGGAGAAAGCAGGGGAUCUUCGGACCUUGCGCUAAUAGAUGAGCCUAAGUCGGAUUAGAUAGUUGGUGGGGGAAAGGCCUACCAAGGCGACGAUCUGUAGCGGGUCUGAGAGGAUGAUGCGCCGCACUGGGACGGGGACACGGCGCAGACUCCUGCGGGAGGGAGCAGUGGGGAAUAUUGGACAAUGGGGGGAACCCUGAUCCAGCCAUGCCGCGUGUGUGAAGAAGGCCUUAUGGUUGUAAAGCACUUUAAGCGAGGAGGAGGCUACUCUAGUUAAUACCUAGGGAUAGUGGACGUUACUCGCAGAAUAAGCACCGGCUAACUCUGUGCCAGCAGCCGCCGCGG